AAGAGCUGGCAGUGUUAUUUGCUAUGUCUUUGGGGAAGACAAAGGUUUGAUUUAAUAAACACAGUGUACUGAAUGAUUCAAUGCAGAACUGAAACAGCAAGCACAGUGGACCCAGCCUAUCUGGACACCUACCUACCUUGAUGUAAACCAAUUUUAAACACCUGUCAUCCACAGAUCCUUCUGCGCAGGGCUGCAAAGAGCAAGACUGUGCUCCUUCCUGUGGCAAUGAUUCUUCUGGUGCAUGUGAAUAAACCUGACUCUACAGAUAAGUAUCAACUGCAGAGAGUUCUAAACAGAAAAAGAGACUUCUUUCCUCCUAAUAAAUUUAGAGACUUCUUCUGACCUCAGUCAGCAAAACCUUCUCAGAUGUAAAAGGGAUUUUCAAGUUGAUGAAUUUGCUGUGUGAUUUUCUGGAAACAUGGUAAGUCCUCUUCUCCAGCGCUGGGCCACCUGAUGGGAAGAGGACAUCACCUGCUUACCAGCCUCGCAGUAGUGUGGAUAUCACGCCAGCCUCAUCAUGCCAGCUUCCACUGAGCCAUCACUUGUUAUUUCUCCUAUGACAGGUAUGACUACAAUAAAAGAAUUUAAAAGCUACAGAAGUCUCAAAAGGAAUUAAUAUGUUUUCUUGAUCAAACUAUGGAGUCUCAAAGCAAGAAGGAAGCCAAGACAAACAGGAAUAUAUUGCAUUAAUCAAGACGUGGGCAGACAGGUGUUGCAGAUCUGCAGGUUACUCAGCAAGGUGGUGGGACCUCCAUCCAGUGAAAUUUAAGACAUUUAGACAAAGCUGUCUCACACAACUGGGAAGAGUGUAUCUCCAAGCUGGACUGGGUAACUUCCUAAGGUUCCUCCAAAACAACACGUAGUGACCAAUGGAGGAUGCCCAUGAAGACCUAUCAAUACAGGUCAUGCAAAAUGCUGCCAUCCUUGUGCACACAUCCAGAUGUGUGAUUGAUUUGGGAUUCAGAAACUUCCAGAGCAAAAGCUGGUAGCUUUGUAAAGAGAAGGACAUCCCCACAACAAAUGUUAAAGACUUCUGCAUGGAAUAUAUUACAAAGAAGUCAGUAAGAAACAGAAACUUUAUUAUUCCUGAAAUAAAUCCAGCACAUUAAAUUAGGAAACUUAUGCAACUAAUUAUAUCCUACCAGUAUAAACAGUAUCAAAGAGGAGUAUUUUAUUUCUGAACAUCUCAUGCCAUCUCAUUUUCAGAAUGUCAGUUAAGAACAAAAAUAAUACAAAGUCCUUAUGAUAACUGAAGAUGAAACCCAGAAUUAAAUUUACAACAAAUCUGGAAUUCCCCUUUGAUCAUUCUAAGGCAAUGGCUAUACAUUUUUAUCACACCAAACAAGCCAUAAUAAACUGCAACAUCAAAACCAGAAAGAAAUCCUAUGACUUCCCAAGACAAUGCUUUUGAACAGUCACAAUAUCACAGCCUUUUAAUGCAAGCACACGUGUUAAAUAUGCACAUGGCUCCAUGUGUAGGUGAUGUGGUGUGACAUAAAUAUUUUACUAGCAGUUUAAGUUACUGACUCAUUACACACAAAUGGUAUGAAUGUUCUUUUCUGAUUUUAUAAGUGUUCAUAUUUUGGCGCCCCUGAAUGAUUAAGAACAGGAAACCGUGGUAUCUGAAAAGAAGGUUUUCAAAAACUUGUAGGAAAGAUCUUGAAUUUUAAUAAGGCUUUCCAAGUAAAGAACUACUGAGGUGCACAAAAAAGGAGUCAAGACACACAUAAUUUAUGGCUUUGCUCCCCAGCACAACUUUACUGAAAUCAAAGGCCUUUGCUCAAGAGUAACUUCUUCCCCUAGUUGCAGAAGUUUGCAGAAUAGCAGUCUUUUCUAGAA